GGGUCAGGGAAGAGCACGGUUGUGUGAGGAUGCCAAGGGACUAGUUCUACACGUCAUUCUGAGGUCC